rnacentral:rRNA from 1 species
CCCUUAGAUGUCCUGGGCUGCACGCGCGCUACACUGAUGUGUCCAGUAAGCACCUAACCUCUUCCGAAAGGAACGGGUAACCUUUGCAAAGCACAUCGUGAUGGGGAUAGAUUAUUGCAAUUAUUAGUCUUGAACGAGGAAUUCCUAGUAAGCACAAGUCAUCAGCUUGUGUUGAUUACGUCCCUGCCCUUUGUACACACCGCCCGUCGCUCCUACCGAUUGAAUGUUCCGGUGAGCUCUUCGGACUACGCGGUCUGCAGUUUCUGCGUUCCGUGCGGAAAGUUGCGCAAACCUUAACAUUUAGAGGAAGGAGAAGUCGUAACA